UAGAUGUGGGCGAAACGUCAGGAGAGAAUACUUCUGGAACAUGGCCACACAGCCCGAAAGACAUACAACAACCCUGAUUUCCAUCAAUGUUGGUUCUUGACUGUCUUUCCCAUAAUCUGCCAGUGCAGGUUUCUCUUCUUCUACCGUUUGUUUCACUUGCAGAAGCCCUCUUUCUGCCUCCUGAUUUCCUGGGCAGAUAUUUGUACAUUUUUUGGAAAGUCCUGAAUGAAGUUUGCAACCAUCUGCACCAGCCAAAUGCAAUAGGUACAGCAAUUCUGCCUAUGCAACACAAAGAGGACAAUAAUAUACUACAUGCCUGCCAUGAAGUUGUGGGGAACCCUCAUAGACAACAACAGGGAGAAAAACAACAAAGGUGA
rnacentral:lncRNA from 11 species